AUUGAACGCUGGCGGCAUGCCUUACACAUGCAAGUCGAACGGUAGCAGGUCUUCGGAUGCUGACGAGUGGCGAACGGGUGAGUAAUACAUCGGAACGUGCCCGAUCGUGGGGGAUAACGCAGCGAAAGCUGUGCUAAUACCGCAUACGAUCUACGGAUGAAAGCGGGGGAUCUUCGGACCUCGCGCGGACGGAGCGGCCGAUGGCAGAUUAGGUAGUUGGUGGGGUAAAGGCUAACCAAGCCUGCGAUCUGUAGCUGGUCUGAGAGGACGACCAGCCACACUGGGACGGAGACACGGCCCAGACUCCUACGGGAGGCAGCAGUGGGGAAUUUUGGACAAUGGGCGCAAGCCUGAUCCAGCCAUGCCGCGUGCAGGAUGAAGGCCUUCGGGUUGUAAACUGCUUUUGUACGGAACGAAAAGUCUCUUUUUAAUAAAGAGGGAUCAUGACGGUACCGUAAGAAUAAGCACCGGCUAACUACGUGCCAGCAGCCGCUGUAA
rnacentral:rRNA from 1 species